rnacentral:tRNA from 1 species
GCCUGGGUGGCUCAGUCGGUUGAGCAUCUGACUUCAGCUCAGGUCAUGAUCUCAUGGUUCGUGGGUUCGAGCCCUGCCUCAAGCU